rnacentral:rRNA from 1 species
CCUACGGGAGGCAGCAGUGGGGAAUAUUGCGCAAUGGACGAAAGUCUGACGCAGCAACGCCGCGUGAGGGAUGACGGCCUUCGGGUUGUAAACCUCUUUCAGCAGGGACGAAGCGAGAGUGACGGUACCUGCAGAAGAAGGACCGGCCAACUACGUGCCAGCAGCCGCGGUAAUACGUAGGGUCCGAGCGUUGUCCGGAAUUAUUGGGCGUAAAGGGCUCGUAGGCGGUUCGUCACGUCGGGAGUGAAAACUCGGAGCUCAACUCUGAGCCUGCUUCCGAUACGGGCAGACUAGAGGUAGGCAGGGGAGAGCGGAACUCCUGGUGUAGCGGUGGAAUGCGCAGAUAUCAGGAAGAACACCGGUGGCGAAGGCGGCUCUCUGGGCCUUACCUGACGCUGAGGAGCGAAAGCGUGGGUAGCGAACAGGAUUAGAUACCCUGGUAGUCCACGCCGUAAACGUUGGGCGCUAGGUGUGGGGGACAUUCCACGUCCUCCGUGCCGCAGCUAACGCAUUAAGCGCCCCGCCUGGGGAGUACGGCCGCAAGGCUAAAACUCAAAGGAAUUGACGG